rnacentral:lncRNA from 1 species
AUCACCUCACGACAAGCGUUGUGUGUCAGUGGGCUCUGUAAAUUACAAAGCACUGUAUAAAUAGCAAGUUUGUUGAUUCCUCCAUGGCAGAAGUGAGAGAAGCCUGUUGAAGUGAGGAAGCUGGUCGGGAGACAGCCCAGGAGAUGCUCCUGUGGGGAACCAAAACACAGGGAGAAACUACCGCAGAAGAAAAGUCCUCAGAGAAUGGAACCUUGACCUACCGGUAGCCAAGAAGCUACCCAGCAGGUUAGGAACUGGCCACCAGGGGGUGCUGCUCCCCCAAUCUUCCUCGCACCGGACCUUCCCAUCUGCUGGCAAGAAACCAGGAUUUAGGAGUCCUAAGGAGCAACCACUCAAGACUUUGAGAAACUGCAAGGAAGGGAGAGAUGUUGGGCAACAGUGCGAGCUGAUCUCUGUCCCACCGGGAGGAAGGGCAGGAUGGAAGGGGAACUUAUAUCCACUUUCAAUUACCAAAACAGCACUGUGGAGGAGCUCUUGCUCCCAUUUCACAGAUGAGGAACUUAAGGCCAAAGGAUGGAUAAGAUCAGAAGAGGGACAAGCAAAAAGUUUCAUCUGAUUCCAAGGUCAGUCGCCAAGGUAUCACAAGUAGAUACCAGUUCAUUUUACUCUGUGGAGUCACUGGUGACCCUUCCCUGUUGACUUUGCAUUGAAUUAUGGCCACAAUUAUUUUCUUUGCUGGGCUGUCCCCACCCCACUCCCCAGUCUUUCCCCCCCCCCGCAGC